rnacentral:misc_RNA from 1 species
ACCCACUUUAAGUUGAAUCUAAUCGUGCUUUUAUAAUUUUUGCUUUGCAGCGAGUUCACAUUUUUUCUUCGAAGGGCAAAAGAAAAACAUGAAGAUUUUCUCGUACCGUACAUGCUAAAUCAAAAUUCCUGGGAGAAUUUCACAUUCAAUGUCUCCAAUGAUGAAGUUGACAAAUAAUAUAACCAAACUUAUGAAGGAAAGAAGCAACUAUUCUAUCAAAUUGGUACCGUGUACAUACAACAAUCUUAACUCAUACCACCAUCCAUCAUCCAUACUUUCUCAGCCCACUGAUCCACAGGUACAGUACUACACAGUAGCAAAUCGCUGAUGAUGGUUUUGAUGAUGGAUGCUGGUUGUUGCCAUGGCCGUGGCAUUGGUGGUUGUGACAUGAAACGGCCGCCAAGCCGAAGCAGUAAGCAAGCAAAGGUCCUUCCAACCAAGCUUGAGAGUGCCAUUGUCUUCCACCAAGGUGUAACCGUCGGAGGGGAACAUGCCCAGGAGUAGAGUGGCCUGAGUGGCUGCAUUUCCGGCAAGAGAAAUUCCCUUGAACCCAGAUUGUCGGAGCUUCUCCCUCCAAUUAUGAAACUUCAAUUCUCCACUUCGGGAAGGCCCUCCAACAGCCAGCACAUUGCGUAUUUCUCUAGAAAGCAACUGCUGCUCCACCACAUGCCUGUCCUCGCUCUCCUCCCCAUAGCUCGCUCCCAACGAGUCGAACAGCGCUGAGUAAUAGUGUAUGGCCUCCACGAACCUGCCCAGAAAGGAUCCCGCAUGGCUCAGGUCCUGUUCUACCACUGUCACCACUUUCGGCCCCAAUCUGCAACAGAAAGCUCAAUUCUUGAGCUUAUUAUGACCCAGAAGAAUCUAAACCUCAUCACACACGAUAAUAUCGAUUCUUGCAUAGAAAAAAAAAAUUCUAUCUUUAUUAAUUAUAUGCAAAAUUAAGCAAGAAGGAACAGAUGAAUAGUGGGAGUGUGGUUUAAACUUUAUACCAUCAUGACAAGCAUUGAAAAUGAUGUUAAUGGAUAAAGAAAUAAGUAAAAAGGAAAAAGAAAAGGAGAUUUUGUCCUGGGAUCUUGUGUAAUUCAUUAUAUAGGGACUAGCAUACUAAAUUUAAACGUGAAAAUGAAUAUUCAUCUUUACCUCUGCAACAGCCAGAGCAUAUUGGUGUCAGAACCAGUGACGUCGUAGAGGGAGUGCUGCAACCAGUGCACCGCCACGGCCUCCCUCUUGCUGACAUUUAGCCUUUCUGGGUCUAAAUUUCCAACUUUUUCGGCCACCGGAACGAAUUCAAAAGGGAGGCCCAGUUUUUGGGCAAAAUCAGACAAACGUUUCCCAGUUGCCCCCAGAGCUUCCAUGGAGGUCCCCAGCCCUGUCAGACGCACGUAAGGAGGUCCACCGGGCCUUGAUGCUAGGAUGUGAAAUAGCCCCGGCCACUGCAACCCUUGCAUGAUGUCUAGAUCUAUUAUGUGCACCCUGUCCUCCCUCUCGAACGCUUCUUGUAUCGCCUGAUUUGCCGUGAAAUGAGAGAACUUUACGAAAGGGCUGAUUCCAUUAAAUACCUGAAACGCUGAGGCCAUCUUCUGGGUGUGGCUAAGCGGCAUUGAUGGCAGCGUAGCGUAUAUUCCCAAGCAAGAAUUCACCAGCCUCGCUGACAUUGCCUCAGAGAAAUACGCUGCCACCCGCUGUGCCGACGUCCCGUAAGGUGUGGAGAGCUCCGAGAUCUCUAACAACAUCUUGUUCGCCUCCUCGAAAUUAUCCGCCGAGACUGCCUCCGCGCAUUGGAGGAGUAAGGUUAGAAGGUGCAAACCUUCUUCAUCCCUCUUCUGCUGCUGUAACUCUUCCUUCUUCUCCCUGGCGCUAGUAGCAGCAUCAGCUACUGACGUUGGCGUCGUCGCUAUCCCGGUAUUGGCCACUUGUUCUGUUUCUGCUGAUGAAGAUUUUUCAUGUUCUUUUUGUUGUAGACGGCCUUGAUUCAAUGCAAGAAGAGGUGGUGCCACCGAAGUAGAAGAGGGGCUUCCUUGUUGCUGUUGCUGAUCAUGAAGGAGCUGAACUUGAUGGUGUAGCUGCUGGUUGUUACCUUGGCAGACCAGCGAUUGCGUGGAUCCCCAGCUGGAGUACUGACUUACCGGAGCCACAGCCGCAGGAGAAUCCGACAACGAGGUGUAACUAGUGACAUUUUCAAAAUUAAGAGUGAGCCCAGAAGAGGCUUGCACUUGAUUACUACAGUCCCUAGGCGGCAAAGCUUCCUUCUUUCUCCUAUCCGCCGGAUAAUUGGGUAUCGGUUCCGCUAGAGAACGGAGUCUGUGCUCGAGAAGGGAAGCGAGACUGGGGUUGCAAGGGAAGAUAAUCUCUCUGACAUUCUGAAUAAGCUGAGGAAUGGAAACGUUGGCGGAGCUAUGGAUAAGGUCCUUAAUGAUGCCAUCAAUCCAGGCAGUGGCGGAGGCGUCUUCCAUGGAAGGAGUAGUGGCAGCACCACCACCACCAGCAGUAGUGGUACUAGAGGUACUAAGGACGAUGGGUUCGUUGGUGUUUCGUUGUCUCUCUCCUUCUGACGGGAACAAGGGUAAACCAGAGAAGCCACAAACGGCUGGGGCCUGGAGCUGAGGUGAUGAUGAGAGGAAGUCAUUGGAAGAAAAGUUGGUUGUCCCUGUUGAGGAUAGAAAACCACACAAAGAUACAGACACAGACUCUCCUGACGUCAUAGGUGUCAAGUUGGUGGAAGAUGGUAGCAUAGUCAUUGUGGAGUGGUUGAGCACUGGGUAUGGAUUCGGGUUUGGGUUUGGGUUUGGGUUUGGAUUUGGAUUUGGAUUUUGGUUUUGGUUUUGGUUAGGGUUAAUAAUAUUAGUCAAAGAAGAGGUGCAGCCAAUAAUAUUGUCUUCUGGAAGAGAAUUGGUGGUGCCACCACAACUAGUCCUUCGAUAACUCCUCUGGUUUUGGUUUGUUGUUUGCACCUCCAUCAUCUCACAAGCCAUCCUCUUUCUCACCAUCUUUCCUUUCCCUUCGAUUGCUCUUAUGGGUUCUUCUUCUUUGCAGCUAUGGCUAUUGAUGUUGCUAAUUGACAAUGGGCUGUUUCUAUUGUUCUUGCUGCUUCCAUUAAAAUCAGCAUCGCCACCAUUCUCAGGAAACAAACAAGAGGCAGUCAUGAAAAUGGGCACAGGUAGAAGCAGAAAGCAACUCAAACAACAGAGAUCCAGAAACUGCACCCAGGCCUUGAUAUUUGAUCCUCAUAGUAAAAAGGAGAGUUUUCUUCUGCUGCUUCUGCCAAUGAUAUAUGGAAAAGGGAAGGAGAGGGCAUAUCCAAAGCAGAAAACUGCGUGAAGAUUAAGACAGAGCGCGCGGCGUUGGGAUUCU